GGAGCUCCUCGCUCCAAGGAUUUACUCCGGAGUGACUAAGUGCACGUAGUUCACAAAGUAACACCAGAAAACGUCCACGUUUUCCCUGGUCCAUCAGAACAUCGGCCGCCUGCCCUCAGCUGUCUGCAGCCUGCCCUGCCCCUAGGUGUUGAGAGAUGCGUUUUCAAAUGACACGUUGAGAUCCAGGAGUGAAUACUCAAAUCUAGUGACUCGGGAGCACAUCUCUUUCCCGAAUAAAAUAGUAACGAUACGUCCUGACUAGAUAAUAAACUAUGUGAUCAACGUACUUCCAGCUCUCAAAGAUAUGGUUCUGUACGGCCCUCUGCUCCAAUCUUCCAGCAAUUCAUUCAAUGAAUUCCUUUACCUAAUAGGAAUAUUGCAGAGGCCAGGGUUUGUGCCACGGUCUCCAGGGAAUAAAGUGGAGACCACAUGAGCAGCUUGGACCACAUCCAGCAGUAACGAGGUAUCUCUAUCCUUCUUCGCUGUGGUGGUAUCAGAAGAGACCUAUUGGAAAUUCAGGACUCUCACUAUUGCCUAGAGUAAUGAAGCCACUGCCACAUCACUGGAGACCACAUGGGGAGCUGGAACUCCAACCUGUACCCAGAAAUAGUGGGAUGCUUCUCUCCUCUCUGCCUCUACCACACAGGUGUCAUUGGAUGUCAAAGGGGGAACCCAGAACUCUUCUGGCAGUAACAAGGUGGUAACUAUGAGCAGUAAAGAAGUGCUGCCUCCCAUCUCACUGAAGCAGUGUCAAAAUUAUUAAAACAAAUGGUUUGUAAUAAAUCAUAAAUCGUGUUAACAUGAUGCAAAAAUGUCCAGGUUUCAACAGAAUAUGAUUCAUCAUACCAUGAACCGGGAACAUCUCAAACUUAAUGAAAAAAGAUGGUCAAUAAAUUUCAACACUAAGAAACAGAAAUGUUAAAAUUAUCUGCUAAAAAUGUUAAAGCACCUAUGAGAAAAAUGUUUGAACAUGCAAUUAGGACUGAUGCCAGGAACAAAAUUACAACCUCAACCAAGAAAUAGAAAAUCUCAGCAAAGAAAUAGAAAGUAUAAAAAAAAAUAAACCCAUGGACAUUUAGAAUGAAAAAUAAAACUGAAAUAAGGAUAUCAUUUGAUGGAAUAAAAAACACAUUGGAGAGGAAUGAGGAAAGAAUUGAUGAACUGGAAGACCGAACAAUAGACAUUGUUCAAUCUGAGCAAAAAAAGAGACAUAGGCAGGAAAAAUAAAAAGGGCAGAUCCUUAGGGGUCUGUGAGACUGUAACAAUUUAUCUAGUACUUAUGACACCAGAGUCUUGAAAGGAGAGAAGGAGAGAGGAACUGCAAACAUGCUUGAAGAAAUGAUGGAUGAAAACUCCCCACUUUUGGAAAAGACGUAAACGUAUAGAUUCAAGAGGCUGAACAAAGCCUAAAUAAUAAGGCUAAGUAAAUUGAUGUCAGGAUAUAUGAUAAUUAAAAUUUUGAAAGCCUACCACCAAAAAAAAAAAAAAAAAAAAAUGUUGAAGCAGCCAGAGUAAAACGUCUUACUUAUAGAUGAAAAAUAAGGCUGAUAGCAGAUUUAUCUUCCAAAACUAUGAAGGUAAAAAGGAAGUGGCAUAAUAUAUUCAGGCCCUGAAAGAAAAAAAAUUUAAACCCAGAAUUUUAUAUUUAAUAAAAAUAUCCUAUAGGAGAAAAAAGGAAAUCAAGUCAUUCACUGAUGAAGUACAAUUAAGAGAAUGUGUUGCCUGAAGACCUAUUCUUAAAAAUGUUUUUUAAACAGAAAGAAUGAUAAAAGAGACUUGGAAAUCAGAAAGGGAAAAAGUACAAUACAAAGAGUAAACAUGUGAGUGAACACAAUAAAUUUUCCUUCUUUAGAGUUUUCUAAAUAAUGUAACACUGUCUGAUGUGGCUCUAAAUGUAUAUAGAGGAAAUAUUUAAGACAAUUAUUGCAAUGAAGGGUUAAAAACGAAAAGACAGGUGAUAGUUCUAUAUGUCAUUCAAAUUGAUAAAAUAGUGGCACCAGUAAGACUGCAGUGAGUUAUGUAUAUAUCCAGUAAAACCACAAGUAAGCAGUAUAAAGAAAUGCACUCAAAAUGCUAUAGGCCAGGAAAAAUAUAAUUUUUGGAAAAAAUGUUUGAGUGAAGGAGAAAAAUGUAAACGGAGUACUAAGAACCAGAAGAAACAGGAAAACAGAAGUAGACUUAAGUAUUAUUCCAGAAAAAUGAAGAUCUGUGUUCCCCCUCCACACACACAAAAUGGACAAGAAUGUUUAUAGCAGAUAAAUUCCAAUAGCCUCAAACUGGAAAUAACACAAAUGUUGUUCAACCAGUGAAUGAUUAAACAAACUGUGAUACAUCUAUGCCAUGGGAGUAGUCCUCAGCAAUAAGAGAAAAUCAAUUACUGAUACAUGCAGCCUGAUACCAGCAGCCUGGAUAAAUAUCCAGAGAGAUAUGUCAACAAAAUAAAGCUGAUUGCAAAAACUUUCAUGCUAUAUGCUUCUAUUAUAGUACUCUUGAAAUUACAAUAACAUAAAAAUGGAGAACAGAUUAGUCGUUGUCAAGAGUUAAGGAAGGAGCAAGGCAGUAGGAAGCAGGUGUGAUUACGAAGAGGCAACAUGAGGAAGCUUAUGGUGACGGGCGUGUUCUAUAUCUUGACUCUGGAUAUCAUUCUCUCGGUUGUGAUAUGGCACUGCAUAUUUUGCAAUGUUAUCACUGAGGGAAAACUCAGUUGGGGUGCAUGGAAUCUCUCUUCAUUAUUUCUUAUAACUAUAUGUGAAUCUAAAAAUAUCUCAAAACAAAAGUUUAAUUUAAAAAUUGCAUCUGUCAAUGUUUUCUUGAAAAUCAAACGUGAUCGUAUCUAUGAAAACUCUUUAUAA